UCCAAUGGAUGGGACCCCAAUGAAAUGUUCAAGUUCAAUGAGGAGAACUACGGUGUGAAGACUACCUAUGAUAGCAGUCUUUCUUCUUAUACGGUGCCCUUAGAAAAGGACAACUCAGAAGAGUUUCGUCAGCGAGAGCUGCGUGCGGCCCAGUUGGCUCGAGAGAUUGAAUCAAGCCCCCAGUACCGCCUACGGAUCGCCAUGGAGAACGACGAUGGGCGCACUGAAGAGGAGAAGCACAGUGCAGUCCAGCGGCAGGGCUCAGGGCGGGAGAGCCCCAGCUUGGCAUCCAGGGAGGGGAAGUAUAUCCCUCUGCCUCAACGAGUCCGGGAAGGUCCCCGGGGAGGAGUUCGAUGCAGCAGCUCUCGGGGCGGUCGGCCUGGCCUUAGCUCUUUGCCACCUCGUGGCCCUCACCAUCUGGACAACAGCAGCCCUGGCCCAGGUUCUGAGGCCCGUGGUAUCAAUGGAGGCACAGCGGCCUCUGAGAGGUGCCAAGACUCUGUCUUCGCCCAGUAAUAGGCCUUCUGGAGAAACUUCUGUUCCUCCUCCUCCUGCAGUGGGCCGGAUGUAUCCCCCGCGUUCUCCCAAGUCUGCUGCCCCUGCCCCAAUCUCAGCUUCCUGUCCAGAGCCUCCCAUCGGCUCGGCAGUGCCAACCUCUUCAGCCUCCAUCCCUGUGACCUCAUCAGUCUCAGAUCCUGGAG
rnacentral:sRNA from 1 species